rnacentral:rRNA from 8 species
AGAGUUUGAUCAUGGCUCAGAUUGAACGCUGGCGGCAGGCCUAACACAUGCAAGUCGAACGGUAACAGGAAGCAGCUUGCUGCUUUGCUGACGAGUGGCGGACGGGUGAGUAAUGUCUGGGAAACUGCCUGAUGGAGGGGGAUAACUACUGGAAACGGUGGCUAAUACCGCAUAACGUCGCAAGACCAAAGAGGGGGACCUUCGGGCCUCUUGCCAUCAGAUGUGCCCAGAUGGGAUUAGCUAGUUGGUGAGGUAACGGCUCACCAAGGCGACGAUCCCUAGCUGGUCUGAGAGGAUGACCAGCCACACUGGAACUGAGACACGGUCCAGACUCCUACGGGAGGCAGCAGUGGGGAAUAUUGCACAAUGGGCGCAAGCCUGAUGCAGCCAUGCCGCGUGUAUGAAGAAGGCCUUCGGGUUGUAAAGUACUUUCAGCGGGGAGGAAGGUGUUGUGGUUAAUAACCGCAGCAAUUGACGUUACCCGCAGAAGAAGCACCGGCUAACUCCGUGCCAGCAGCCGCGGUAAUACGGAGGGUGCAAGCGUUAAUCGGAAUUACUGGGCGUAAAGCGCACGCAGGCGGUCUGUCAAGUCGGAUGUGAAAUCCCCGGGCUCAACCUGGGAACUGCAUUCGAAACUGGCAGGCUUGAGUCUUGUAGAGGGGGGUAGAAUUCCAGGUGUAGCGGUGAAAUGCGUAGAGAUCUGGAGGAAUACCGGUGGCGAAGGCGGCCCCCUGGACAAAGACUGACGCUCAGGUGCGAAAGCGUGGGGAGCAAACAGGAUUAGAUACCCUGGUAGUCCACGCCGUAAACGAUGUCUACUUGGAGGUUGUGCCCUUGAGGCGUGGCUUCCGGAGCUAACGCGUUAAGUAGACCGCCUGGGGAGUACGGCCGCAAGGUUAAAACUCAAAUGAAUUGACGGGGGCCCGCACAAGCGGUGGAGCAUGUGGUUUAAUUCGAUGCAACGCGAAGAACCUUACCUGGUCUUGACAUCCACAGAACUUUCCAGAGAUGGAUUGGUGCCUUCGGGAACUGUGAGACAGGUGCUGCAUGGCUGUCGUCAGCUCGUGUUGUGAAAUGUUGGGUUAAGUCCCGCAACGAGCGCAACCCUUAUCCUUUGUUGCCAGCGAUUAGGUCGGGAACUCAAAGGAGACUGCCAGUGAUAAACUGGAGGAAGGUGGGGAUGACGUCAAGUCAUCAUGGCCCUUACGACCAGGGCUACACACGUGCUACAAUGGCGCAUACAAAGAGAAGCGACCUCGCGAGAGCAAGCGGACCUCAUAAAGUGCGUCGUAGUCCGGAUUGGAGUCUGCAACUCGACUCCAUGAAGUCGGAAUCGCUAGUAAUCGUGGAUCAGAAUGCCACGGUGAAUACGUUCCCGGGCCUUGUACACACCGCCCGUCACACCAUGGGAGUGGGUUGCAAAAGAAGUAGGUAGCUUAACCUUCGGGAGGGCGCUUACCACUUUGUGAUUCAUGACUGGGGUGAAGUCGUAACAAGGUAACCGUAGGGGAACCUGCGGUUG